rnacentral:sRNA from 1 species
AGACACUGCCUUUCAGGCAUCCUCUCCCAAAACUUUCACGGCCCGGUCGGUAACGCCCGGGCCUUCUUUUUGCCGCGA